rnacentral:rRNA from 1 species
ACUUAAAUUGAAGAGUUUGAUCAUGGCUCAGAUUGAACGCUGGCGGCAGGCCUAACACAUGCAAGUCGAGCGGUAGCACAGAGAGCUUGCUCUCGGGUGACGAGCGGCGGACGGGUGAGUAAUGUCUGGGAAACUGCCUGAUGGAGGGGGAUAACUACUGGAAACGGUAGCUAAUACCGCAUAACGUCGCAAGACCAAAGUGGGGGACCUUCGGGCCUCAUGCCAUCAGAUGUGCCCAGAUGGGAUUAGCUAGUAGGUGGGGUAACGGCUCACCUAGGCGACGAUCCCUAGCUGGUCUGAGAGGAUGACCAGCCACACUGGAACUGAGACACGGUCCAGACUCCUACGGGAGGCAGCAGUGGGGAAUAUUGCACAAUGGGCGCAAGCCUGAUGCAGCCAUGCCGCGUGUGUGAAGAAGGCCUUCGGGUUGUAAAGCACUUUCAGCGGGGAGGAAGGCGGUGAGGUUAAUAACCUCAUCGAUUGACGUUACCCGCAGAAGAAGCACCGGCUAACUCCGUGCCAGCAGCCGCGGUAAUACGGAGGGUGCAAGCGUUAAUCGGAAUUACUGGGCGUAAAGCGCACGCAGGCGGUCUGUCAAGUCGGAUGUGAAAUCCCCGGGCUCAACCUGGGAACUGCAUUCGAAACUGGCAGGCUAGAGUCUUGUAGAGGGGGGUAGAAUUCCAGGUGUAGCGGUGAAAUGCGUAGAGAUCUGGAGGAAUACCGGUGGCGAAGGCGGCCCCCUGGACAAAGACUGACGCUCAGGUGCGAAAGCGUGGGGAGCAAACAGGAUUAGAUACCCUGGUAGUCCACGCCGUAAACGAUGUCGAUUUGGAGGUUGUGCCCUUGAGGCGUGGCUUCCGGAGCUAACGCGUUAAAUCGACCGCCUGGGAGUACGGCCGCAAGGUUAAAACUCAAAUGAAUUGACGGGGGCCCGCACAAGCGGUGGAGCAUGUGGUUUAAUUCGAUGCAACGCGAAGAACCUUACCUGGUCUUGACAUCCACAGAACUUUCCAGAGAUGGAUUGGUGCCUUCGGGAACUGUGAGACAGGUGCUGCAUGGCUGUCGUCAGCUCGUGUUGUGAAAUGUUGGGUUAAGUCCGCAACGAGCGCAACCCUUAUCCUUUGUUGCCAGCGGUCCGGCCGGGAACUCAAAGGAGACUGCCAGUGAUAAACUGGAGGAAGGUGGGGAUGACGUCAAGUCAUCAUGGCCCUUACGACCAGGGCUACACACGUGCUACAAUGGCAUAUACAAAGAGAAGCGACCUCGCGAGAGCAAGCGGACCUCAUAAAGUAUGUCGUAGUCCGGAUUGGAGUCUGCAACUCGACUCCAUGAAGUCGGAAUCGCUAGUAAUCGUAGAUCAGAAUGCUACGGUGAAUACGUUCCCGGGCCUUGUACACACCGCCGUCACACCAUGGGAGUGGGUUGCAAAAGAAGUAGGUAGCUUAACCUUCGGGAGGGCGCUUACCACUUUGUGAUUCAUGACUGGGGUGAAGUCGUAACAAGGUAACCGUAGGGGAACCUGCGGUUGGAUCACCUCCUUACCUUAAAGAA